GCACUCAGACUCCGUUCUUCAGCACAUUCUCACACUAGAAUCAGAGCGCUCCAUCAACGGCAUUCUCGCCUCGUCCCGGUGAUGAAAAAAAAGAGAAGAGAGGAGGACGACGAACUCUUAUAACAGAUAGGGGAAGAACAAAGCAGAUGCUCUUGAUGAAGUGAUUGCUUGGGCAAAAGAAAAUCAGCCGGUGGGAUUUUCGCAUCUGCUAGGAAUACUGAUUGAUGACCACAAAUGUUGAAAUUGGAGAAUGGUCUGGUUCAUGUAAAGUUUAUUGUAAACAUAUCAUGCAGAAUGGUCGGUUCAUGUAAAGUUCAUUGUAAACAAUUAGGGAUGCAUCACACAACCCACUAAGAUGGAAAUGGAGGAUAUAGAUGGUGAUAAUAAAGUUGAUGUCAAGGAAUCCAACUCUGGUUGCUACUUUCAACAUUACACGUAAGAAAUUUUCUAUUUGUUAUGAUAAACUAUCUAAGGUGCAUCCUAGAUCUCACGAGAAUUACGUUAUUGGCAAUGUUAUGGUCCUAAUAAGGUUAGAUUCCUAUAUUUAAUCUUUGUUUUUCAUUUUUUAUGUUACUUGUGUUCUAUCAAUAUCACGUUUUUGGUUGAAGAGUAAAUGAUUAAACUAGAAUGAAGGUUAAAAGUGGAAAGGUUCAGAGAAAGGAAUUAAAUUACAUUUUCUGUUUUAGGACUGUUUUAGGUAGUUAGGAAUGUUCUUUAUUUUAAUUUAUUUUAUUUUUAACUAAAGCUUUCAUUGAGAUCAAAUAAAAGACGAGGAACCCAAUUCACUUAAAAAGGUGCUCCAAGCAAAAUAACACUGUAAAAAAAAAAAAA